GACGAACGCUGGCGGCGCGCCUAACACAUGCAAGUCGAACGAGCGAGAGAGAGCUUGCUUUCUCGAGCGAGUGGCGAACGGGUGAGUAACGCGUGAGGAACCUGCCUCAAAGAGGGGGACAACAGUUGGAAACGACUGCUAAUACCGCAUAAGCCCACGGCUCGGCAUCGAGCAGAGGGAAAAGGAGCAAUCCGCUUUGAGAUGGCCUCGCGUCCGAUUAGCUAGUUGGUGAGGUAACGGCCCACCAAGGCAACGGUCGGUAGCCGGACUGAGAGGUUGAACGGCCACAUUGGGACUGAGACACGGCCCAGACUCCUACGGGAGGCAGCAGUGGGGAAUAUUGCACAAUGGGGGAAACCCUGAUGCAGCGACGCCGCGUGGAGGAAGAAGGUCUUCGGAUUGUAAACUCCUGUUGUUGGGGAAGAUAAUGACGGUACCCAACAAGGAAGUGACGGCUAACUACGUGCCAGCAGCCGCGGUAAAACGUAGGUCACAAGCGUUGUCCGGAAUUACUGGGUGUAAAGGGAGCGCAGGCGGGAAGACAAGUUGGAAGUGAAAUCUAUGGGCUCAACCCAUAAACUGCUUUCAAAACUGUUUUUCUUGAGUAGUGCAGAGGUAGGCGGAAUUCCCGGUGUAGCGGUGGAAUGCGUAGAUAUCGGGAGGAACACCAGUGGCGGAGGCGGCCUACUGGGCACCAACUGACGCUGAGGCUCGAAAGUGUGGGUAGCAAACAGGAUUAGAUACCCUGGUAGUCCACACCGUAAACGAUGAUUACUAGGUGUUGGAGGAUUGACCCCUUCAGUGCCGCAGUUAACACAAUAAGUAAUCCACCUGGGGAGUACGACCGCAAGGUUGAAACUCAAAGGAAUUGACGGGGGCCCGCACAAGCAGUGGAGUAUGUGGUUUAAUUCGACGCAACGCGAAGAACCUUACCAAGUCUUGACAUCCCUUGACAGGCAUAGAAAUAUGUUUUCUCUUCGGAGCAAGGAGACAGGUGGUGCAUGGUUGUCGUCAGCUCGUGUCGUGAGAUGUUGGGUUAAGUCCCGCAACGAGCGCAACCCUUAUGGUCAGUUACUACGCAAGAGGACUCUGGCCAGACUGCCGUUGACAAAACGGAGGAAGGUGGGGAUGACGUCAAAUCAUCAUGCCCUUUAUGACUUGGGCUACACACGUACUACAAUGGCGUUAAACAAAGAGAAGCAAGACCGCGAGGUGGAGCAAAACUCAGAAACAACGUCCCAGUUCGGACUGCAGGCUGCAACUCGCCUGCACGAAGUCGGAAUUGCUAGUAAUCGUGGAUCAGCAUGCCACGGUGAAUACGUUCCCGGGCCU
rnacentral:rRNA from 1 species